GAUGAACGCUGGCGGCGUGCCUAAUACAUGCAAGUCGAGCGAACAGACGAGGAGCUUGCUCCUCUGACGUUAGCGGCGGACGGGUGAGUAACACGUGGAUAACCUACCUAUAAGACUGGGAUAACUUCGGGAAACCGGAGCUAAUACCGGAUAAUAUAUAGAACCGCAUGGUUCAAUAGUGAAAGACGGUUUUGCUGUCACUUAUAGAUGGAUCCGCGCCGCAUUAGCUAGUUGGUAAGGUAACGGCUUACCAAGGCAACGAUGCGUAGCCGACCUGAGAGGGUGAUCGGCCACACUGUAACUGAGACACGGUCCAGACUCCUACGGGAGGCAGCAGUAGGGAAUCUUCCGCAAUGGGCGAAAGCCUGACGGAGCAACGCCGCGUGAGUGAUGAAGGUCUUCGGAUCGUAAAACUCUGUUAUUAGGGAAGAACAAAUGUGUAAGUAACUAUGCACGUCUUGACGGUACCUAAUCAGAAAGCCACGGCUAACUACGUG
rnacentral:rRNA from 1 species